ensembl:lncRNA
UAAUGGAAAUAACCCAGCUUGAAAGAUGCUCUGCGCUAGGUUGCAACCACAGGCAGUUCCAGGCUUACUUAGAAGCCCUGAAUUUACCAUCAGCUUCUAGCCAGGGCUACUAGUUCCUGGCUGCUCUGGAGGCCACCCCAUGAUUGCCAUGGGAACCAGCCACUCACAAAGCCUCUGGGGCUCCUGAACCCCGCCCCUGCUCUCUGUGAGCCUUCUCAGAUGCUGCCUUGGGAACUGCCCAGGUGCUGGCACCUCCAGCCAGUCAACUCCUUAGAGUGACCUUGGGCCAGAAGAUGGGGGCAGGGCCUCAGUGGGGACAGAACCACCCCACCUACAGCUGCUUUUAUAAAUGGAGAAAUGCAUUCAAAGUUCCCAAGCAACCAGCCAGUAAGUGAACUACUGAAGCUCCUGUGAGAUGAAGUGGCUUCACUCUUGGCGGCUAGUAUGAGAAAGGCAAGAGCCAAGAACCAGGCACACAUCGCCUGGCUGCCCUUGCAACUAGGAGUGGCCAUGUGGCUACCCAAGGGAUCUGAGAGGAAGCAACGUGGGCCACUUCCAGACCUGGUCUCAAAAAUCUCCCAUGCAUGCCUGCAUGCGCUCAUCCUCUUCUGGCUGGCUGGAAUGACGGUGACCUUGGGCAACUUUGGAAGUGACUAGCGAUCUGGUGAUGAUGCAGAGCCUCUGCCAGUCCAAGACCCUGAAGGACUGUGCAGAAGAGAGUUGCCCCCCGCCAACCUCUGCCCCUGUCCAGAAGUAUUAUCUGGACAAGAAAAUAAAUGUCUGGGGUGAUUGCACACUGUUACAAGAGCUUUCUGUCUACCAGAGGAAAUACGACAUCCACGGAAGCCUCUGCCACAUCCAAAGAAGGAAUUAAUCCAUCAGUACUCAUUGAGUGUCUACUAUAGUCACAGCACUCUGCUUGUGGUUGAAAAUAUACAAGAGAAAGAUUAAAAGACCCAGUUCAAUACGUCUGUCUGCGGAAGGGGAAAUGAAGCAUCUGCUUGGUGCCUCCAUUAGGAAGAUGACUUACGACAGGCAGCUGUCAGGCAAGGCGUCUGCAUUCUGACGGAGCCGGCUAGAGCAUGGAGCUGAAAGCCUUCAAGAAGCCAAUGAAAGUCCCAGAACCUUAGCCCAGCCCUUCCCCACCCGCUCCCCCAGAAGCAACGUGAACUUGGGUGCCCACAUACACACAACUGUGAGAAUAAUUUCAGCGUUUUCGAGCUUCCUCACCCCCAAGGUCCAGACCCGGAUGCCACAUCUAUCAGUUCUGAGCUGUGUGAUGUGGGUGGAAUUACUCGCUGUCCUCCUUUGUAAGAUGGGCAUGCACGAACCACACCCAGCUCAUGGGUUUGUUCUGAAGAUGACAUGAGCAGCUGGAGCUGGAGCCCUGGGCACGGCACCUUGCCCAUACUGGGAGCUGGUCAUUAUUAGCUGGUAUUCUCAUGCCCAGGCCAGGAGUUUAAGAUUCCCCAGUCAAAGAGAAUAAUAUAGGUACUUUACAGUUGAUCAGUGCCAAUUUUUCUUUUAAAUCUACCUUACAGGUUUUCUGGAGUAAUGGUUCAGAGUAUGGAUUUACUUUACAAUAUCGAUAAUUUACUUUAAAAUGGUUUGACUUUGAGCAAGGGAACACUGAGUUUGUAUUAGCUGGAGCCUCCAGGGUGGUCAGCUGGUGUUAUAUCACAAAGACGUCAGGUCUUCAGAUCACUGAGGCUUUGAAAAUUAACAUCGUGAGCGUCAGAAGUGAGUUUUACUGGUGAAAUGAGAGGCUUGCUAGACUACAUGAUGAAUAUCGGACAUAGGCUCUCGAUGGCAAAAUCAAAGGUAUUCGAGUGUGGAGGGCUGGGUAAACAUUGUAAAGGCGCUCCCCACGUGUGCAUGAGGCGCUGUAGGAAUCCAGUGAGGCCUGUGGCCAUGGCCACAGGGACGGCACCGAAUGUUGCUGUUGCUUCUGUGAACUUUUCAGACAAGAGGUAGACCCAUCAAGCUCACAGCCGUGUGAACUGUCCUGGGCUUGCUUUCUCAAGGAAUGUUGGUUUAAUAAAAGGCCUGUGUUUGUGGCCGAACUUGG